GAUGAACGCUAGCGGCAGGCCUAACACAUGCAAGUCGAGGGGUAACAGGGUAGCAAUAUCGCUGACGACCGGCGCACGGGUGAGUAACGCGUAUGCAACCUUCCUUUAACUGGGGGAUAGCCCGGAGAAAUUCGGAUUAAUACCCCAUAACAUCAUAGAAAGGCAUCUUUCAGUGAUUAAAGCUCCGGCGGUUAAAGAUGGGCAUGCGUGCCAUUAGCUAGUUGGUGAGGUAACGGCUCACCAAGGCUACGAUGGUUAGGGGGUCUGAGAGGAUGAUCCCCACACUGGUACUGAGACACGGACCAGACUCCUACGGGAGGCAGCAGUGAGGAAUAUUGGGCAAUGGGCGCAAGCCUGACCCAGCCAUGCCGCGUGAAGGAUGAAUGCCCUA
rnacentral:rRNA from 1 species